GAGUUUGAUCAUGGCUCAGGACGAACGCUGGCGGCGCGCUUAACACAUGCAAGUCGAACGGGCAGCUUCGGCUGUCAGUGGCGGACGGGUGCGUAACACGUGAGCAACCUGCCGGGUUGCGGGGGAUAACCCUGGGAAACCGGGGCUAAUACCGCAUGAGCUCUUCUGCCCGAUGGGUGGGAGAGGAAAGGGGCCGCAAGGCUCCGCGACUCGAGGGGCUCGCGGCGUAUCAGGUAGUUGGUGGGGUAACGGCCCACCAAGCCGACGACGCGUAGGGGGUCUGAGAGGAUGGCCCCCCACAUUGGGACUGAGAUACGGCCCAGACUCCUACGGGAGGCAGCAGUGGGGAAUCUUGCGCAAUGGCCGAAAGGCUGACGCAGCGACGCCGCGUGCGGGAGGACGGCCUUCGGGUUGUAAACCGCUGUCAGCGGGGAAGAACACUUCUGGGAGGCAAUGCCCAGGAGCUGACGGUACCCGCAGAGGAAGCACCGGCUAACUCCGUGCCAGCAGCCGCGGUAAUACGGAGG
rnacentral:rRNA from 1 species